rnacentral:tRNA from 1 species
GAGCCCGUAGCUCAGUCGGUAGAGCAUCUGCCUUUUAAGCAGAGGGUCGUGGGUUCGAGCCCCACCGGGCUCACCA